rnacentral:rRNA from 1 species
AGAGUUUGAUCCUGGCUCAGGAUGAACGCUAGCUACAGGCUUAACACAUGCAAGUCGAGGGGCAGCAUGGUCUUAGCUUGCUAAGGCCGAUGGCGACCGGCGCACGGGUGAGUAACACGUAUCCAACCUGCCGUCUACUCUUGGACAGCCUUCUGAAAGGAAGAUUAAUACAAGAUGGCAUCAUGAGUCCACAUGUUCACAUGAUUAAAGGUAUUCCGGUAGACGAUGGGGAUGCGUUCCAUUAGAUAGUAGGCGGGGUAACGGCCCACCUAGUCUUCGAUGGAUAGGGGUUCUGAGAGGAAGGUCCCCCACAUUGGAACUGAGACACGGUCCAAACUCCUACGGGAGGCAGCAGUGAGGAAUAUUGGUCAAUGGGCGAGAGCCUGAACCAGCCAAGUAGCGUGAAGGAUGACUGCCCUAUGGGUUGUAAACUUCUUUUAUAAAGGAAUAAAGUCGGGUAUGGAUACCCGUUUGCAUGUACUUUAUGAAUAAGGAUCGGCUAACUCCGUGCCCAGCAGCCGCCGGUAAUACGGAGGAUCCGAGCGUUAUCCGGAUUUAUUGGGUUUAAAAGGAGCGUAGAUGGAUGUUUAAGUCAGUUGUGAAAGUUUGCGGCUCAACCGUAAAAUUGCAGUUGAUACUGGAUAUCUUGAGUGCAGUUGGGGCAGGGGGAAUUCGUGGUGUAGCGGUGAAAUGCUUAGAUAUCACGAAGAAACUCCGAUUGCGAAGGCAGCCUGCUAAGCUGCAACUGACAUUGAGGCUCGAAAAGUGUGGGUAUCAAACAGGAUUAGAUACCCUGGUAGUCCACACAGUAAACGAUGAAUACUCGCUGUUUGCGAUAUACAGUAAGCGGCCAAGCGAAAGCAUUAAGUAUUCCACCUGGGGAGUACGCCGGCAACGGUGAAACUCAAAGGAAUUGACGGGGGCCCGCACAAGCGGAGGAACAUGUGGUUUAAUUCGAUGAUACGCGAGGAACCUUACCCGGGCUUAAAUUGCAAAUGAAUUAUGGGGAAACCCAUAGGCCGUAAGGCAUUUGUGAAGGUGCUGCAUGGUUGUCGUCAGCUCGUGCCGUGAGGUGUCGGCUUAAGUGCCAUAACGAGCGCAACCCUUAUCUUCAGUUACUAACAGGUCAUGCUGAGGACUCUGGAGAGACUGCCGUCGUAAGAUGUGAGGAAGGUGGGGAUGACGUCAAAUCAGCACGGCCCUUACGUCCGGGGCUACACACGUGUUACAAUGGGGGGUACAGAAGGCCGCUACCUGGUGACAGGAUGCCAAUCCCAAAAACCUCUCUCAGUUCGGAUCGAAGUCUGCAACCCGACUUCGUGAAGCUGGAUUCGCUAGUAAUCGCGCAUCAGCCAUGGCGCGGUGAAUACGUUCCCGGGCCUUGCACACACCGCCCGUCA